rnacentral:rRNA from 1 species
AGUGAACGCUGGCGGUAGGCCUAACACAUGCAAGUCGAACGGCAGCACAGUAAGAGCUUGCUCUUACGGGUGGCGAGUGGCGGACGGGGGAGGAAUACAUCGGAAUCUACUUUUUCGUGGGGGAUAACGUAGGGAAACUUACGCUAAUACCGCAUACGACCUACGGGUGAAAGCAGGGGAUCUUCGGACCUUGCGCGAGUGAAUGAGCCGAUGUCGGAUUAGCUAGUUGGCGGGGUAAAGGCCCACCAAGGCGACGAUCCGUAGCUGGUCUGAGAGGAUGAUCAGCCACACUGGAACUGAGACACGGUCCAGACUCCUACGGGAGGCAGCAGUGGGGAAUAUUGGACAAUGGGCGCAAGCCUGAUCCAGCCAUGCCGCGUGGGUGAAGAAGGCCUUCGGGUUGUAAAGCCCUUUUGUUGGGAAAGAAAAGCAGCAGGUUAAUACCCCGCUGUUCUGACGGUACCCAAAGAAUAAGCACCGGCUAACUUCGUG